GAUGAACGCUGGCGGCGUGCCUAAUACAUGCAAGUCGAGCGAACGGACGAGAAGCUUGCUUUUCUGAUGUUAGCGGCGGACGGGUGAGUAACACGUGGAUAACCUACCUAUAAGACUGGGAUAACUUCGGGAAACCGGAGCUAAUACCGGAUAAUAUUUUGAACCGCAUGGCUCAAAGGUGAAAGACGGUCUUGCUGUCACUUAUAGAUGGAUCCGCGCUGCAUUAGCUAGUUGGUAAGGUAACGGCUUACCAAGGCAACGAUGCAUAGCCGACCUGAGAGGGUGAUCGGCCACCCUGGAGCGGGGCCACGGUCCAGACUCCUACGGGAGGCAGCAGAAGGGAAUCUUCCGCAAUGGGCGAAAGCCUGACGGAGCAACGCCGCGUGAGUGAUGAAGGUCUUCGGAUCGUAAAACUCUGUUAUUAGGGAAGAACAUAUGUGUAAGUAACUGUGCACAUCUUGACGGUAACUAAUCAGAAAGCCACGGCUAACUACGUG
rnacentral:rRNA from 1 species